GACGAACGCUGGCGGCGUGCCUAAUACAUGCAAGUAGAACGCAGUUGCGAAAGGGUGAGUAACGCGGAGGUAACUGCCGCAUAGCGGGGGAUAACUAUUGGAAACGCUAGCUAAUACCGCAUACUGUGGGAUGGACCUGCGUUUGAGUAGCUAAGUGGUGAGGUAAAGGCUAACCAAGGCGACGAGACAUAGCCGACCUGAGAGGGUGAUAGGCCCCACUGGGACUGAGGCACGGCCCCGACUCCUACGGGCAGCAGCAGUAAGGAAUCGUUGGGAAGUGACGGAAGUCUGACCUGGCAAAGCCGCGUGAGUGAAGAAGGGUUUCGGAUCGUAAAGCUCUGUUGUUAGAGAAGCGGUAACUAACCAGAAAGGGACGGCUAACUACGGGCCAGCCGCCGCGGUAAUAC
rnacentral:rRNA from 1 species